rnacentral:lncRNA from 1 species
UGGCACUUGACUGGUGCCUACAUGUCGGAACAGGAAGUCAAUCAAUGGGCAGGAAGCUAGGGAACAAGCUUGAACAGGCAACAUUAAUCUUGCAGUGAGUGCCAGGCCCGGGGAUAAGAGCUGUGUGGAGCAGCAGGCAGUGGCUGUUCUUUCUCAGGUGGGGUGGGGAAACCGGGACCGAGCAACUCGAAAGUCUAUUGGCUGGAUCACCUACUCACAUCGAGCACCUCUCUCCAUCAAGGCCCAUGCUUAAAUCGAUGCCGAGUCCAGCUCUUCAGACCAGCUUGGUCUCCUUUUCUGUGACCUUGCCAACAACCCCUGCUUCACCUGAGUAGAUAGGUCUACACCGGGAAUCCCUGCGUCCACUUCAGGCACCAGCGUGCUCGCGGUCUCCAGCCACACCCUAUGCUGCUGAGAGAUAGGAGAGAAAGCCAAAGGAACCGCAGCAGCAAGCUCCAGUUUGAGCAUGGUGACACAUGCCUGUGACCACAGCCUUCAGGAAACUGAGAGAGGAGGGUCACCACCUUAAUGCCGGGCUAGAAGACAGAGUGAGCUCAAGAAGCCAGAAGAAGGUGUUGGAUCCCCUGGAACUAAAGUUUCAGACAGUUGUGAGCUGCUAUGUGGGUGCUGGAAAUCGAAUCCCAGCCCCUCUGGAAAAGCAGCCAAUGAACACCUGAGCCAUCUCUCCAGCUAUGCACCCUUCCCCACAGAACUUAAAAGAAAUUUUUUCCACUGGGCUACGGUGGUGCACAGUUUCAAUCCCAGCACUCGGGAGGCAGCUGAGGGUUUAUUGAGCAUGUACUAUAUACCUACCUCUCUGUCUUUGCUGCAACACUAUGAAUUAGAGACAACACUUUCACUCUUAAGGCAGGUGGAUCUCUGGUAGUUCAAGACCAGCCUGGUCUACACAGAGUGCCAGGACAGCCAGGGCUACACAGAGAAACCCAUUUCUCAAGAAACAAAACAAAACAAAAAACCCCAGCCCCUGCCAAAAAACCCCGCUAAUUUGGCACAGAUUUUGAUGAUGGGUGUUACUAACUCUGAGCCAGUUAAGCAAAAUAUUAUCCUCUCCAAGAAUUUCAUUCCUCCUAUUAGUAGGCAAAAAAAAAGUAUUUUUAAGAUUAUGCUAAUUACAUCUUGAAUUUUGUCAGCAUAAAUUUUGUGCAGACAUCAUGUAAGUGCUUACACGGUAAACUCCACUGUACCUUUUAGGGAGCAAGGCUCUGAUAUUUUCUACCUGGCUCUUAACAGAGUGUGGACCUAGAGGCUGCACAGCCACUAUAACUGUGCCAGUUUCCUUUACGGUUAGACAACAUGGCCGGCAGAGGUAUCUGGCAUGGGCCAUGAUGGCAGACAUUGGAUACUGGGUGUGGCUUAUUAGUCAUUACAAAAUGGCUAACACCAGCUGUCCAGAAAACCCCCAAAACAAGCAGUGGCAUACUUUGUUAUGUCACUUUUGUGUGGGUUUUGUGUCGACACGGCCUUGAGGUGGGGUCAAGUGCCUUGGCUUCCCUGACACGAUGGAUUGUAAUCUGAAAUUCUCUCCUCAUUUGUCAGGGUGCCUCGUCAGGGCAAUCAGAAAUGGAAGUAAUGCACAUAUGUUCCCCAGCGGGUUUUAUUGGUAUUUAAGAUUUUAUUUUUAUUUUCUGUGUAUGAAUGUCUGUCAGCAUGUAUGCGUGUGCACCACGCCCGGUGCCCACAGAGGUCAGAAGAUGUCAUCUUAUCUGCUGUGACUGGAACUAGGGGGUGUGAGAGCCGUCACGCGAGGUCCUCAGCAAGAGCGACCAGCGCUCAAGACAUCUUUGCAGCUCCAUUUUCUUUUAAUUUCUGUGCUGCAUUUGGUUUUAAGGGACUGAUAAUGUACAGACCAGGACUUUGUUGUUGUAGUUGUUUCUUCGAGACAGGGGUUUCUCUGUGUAGCCCUGGCUGUCCUGGAACUUGCUCUGUAGACUGACUAAGCUGGCCUUGAACUCCACCUGAUUCAAGAGUGGAACUGUGUUGUUCCUAAUUGAUAGUGUUGCAGCAAAGGCAGAGAGGUAUGUAGUACAUGCUCAAUAAACACUCGCCCACUGAGGAAAUGAAUGAGAACUCGCUCUCACAGCGAAAGUCUGUGCUGUGAUAACCGCUGUCGUGUUAAAAUCUCACACGGAGCUUACAGUGUGCAUGUGUGUGUUUGAGUCUCAGAGACAGUAUGGCCAACUAUGUGACUUUGGGGGAAAAAAAUCUAUACAACUUCUCUGUGUCUUGAGGGUCAGAGCAGCCCCCCUUUUGUAGGUUUGCCUGUAAAUAAAUAAUAUUAGUUCCAUUUUUAAACCCC